GAUGAACGCUGGCGGCGUGCCUAAUACAUGCAAGUCGAGCGACAGAUAAGGAGCUUGCUCCUUUGACGUUAGCGGCGGACGGGUGAGUAACACGUGGGUAACCUACCUAUAAGACUGGGAUAACUUCGGGAAACCGGAGCUAAUACCGGAUAACAUUUGGAACCGCAUGGUUCUAAAGUGAAAGAUGGUUUUGCUAUCACUUAUAGAUGGACCCGCGCCGUAUUAGCUAGUUGGUAAGGUAACGGCUUACCAAGGCAACGAUACGUAGCCGACCUGAGAGGGUGAUCGGCCACACUGGAACUGAGACACGGUCCAGACUCCUACGGGAGGCAGCAGUAGGGAAUCUUCCGCAAUGGGCGAAAGCCUGACGGAGCAACGCCGCGUGAGUGAUGAAGGGUUUCGGCUCGUAAAACUCUGUUAUUAGGGAAGAACAAACGUGUAAGUAACUGUGCACGUCUUGACGGUACCUAAUCAGAAAGCCACGGCUAACUACGUG
rnacentral:rRNA from 1 species